UACGGAGGGGGCUAGCGUUGUUCGGAAUUACUGGGCGUAAAGCGCGCGUAGGCGGACCUGCAAGUCGGGGGUGAAAGCCCGAGGCUCAACCUCGGAACUGCCUUCGAUACUGCGGGUCUCGAGUCCGGGAGAGGUGAGUGGAAUUCCUAGUGUAGAGGUGAAAUUCGUAGAUAUUAGGAAGAACACAGUGGCGAAGGCGGCUCACUGGCCCGGUACUGACGCUGAGGCGCGAAAGCGUGGGGAGCAAACAGG
rnacentral:rRNA from 1 species